rnacentral:lncRNA from 1 species
CGAGAUCUAGUCAUAUUUUACUCUAAAAACGCUAACCAAGCUUCUUAUUGCUUCUCAAAGCUUUGUGGGUGUGGCCAAAGUCCUAUGAGUUUUCAGUUUUGGAGCUUCUAAACAAAGAAACACUACUUUAGCUUGUGGGAUCCGGUGGCGGUUCUAAUUCUUAUACCAAAUCAUACACACGAGAUCUAGUCAUAUUUGACUCUAAAAACGCUAACCAAGCUUCUUAUUGGUCUCAAAGCUUUGUGGGUGUGGCCAAAGUCCUAUGAGUUUUCAGUUUUGGAGCUUCUAAACAGAGAAACACUACUUUAGCUUGUGGGAUGCGGUGGCGGUUCUAGUUCUUAUAUCAAAUCAUACACACGAGAUCUCGUCAUAUUUGACUCUAAAAACGCUAACCAAGCUUCUUAUUGCUUCUUAAAGCUUUGCGGGUGUGGCUAAACUCCUAUGAGUUUUCAGUUUUGGAGCUUCUAAACGAAGAAACACUACUUAGCUUGUGGGAUCCGGUGGCGGUUUUAGUUCUUAUAUCAAAUCAUACACACGAGAUCUCGUCAUAUUGGACUCUAAUAACGCUAACCAAGCUUCUUAUUGCUUCUUAAAGCUUUGCGGGUGUGGCUAAACUCCUAUGAGUUUUCAGUUUUGGAGCUUCUAAACGAAGAAACACUACUUUAGCUUGUGGGAUCCGGUGGCAGUUCUAGUUCUUAUACCAAAUCAUACACACGAGAUCUAGUCAUAUUUGACUCUAAAAACGCUAACCAAGCUUCUUAUUGCUUCUCAAAGCUUUGUGGGUGUGGCCAAAGUCCUAUGAGUUUUCAGUUUUGGAGCUUCUAAACAAAGAAACACUACUUUAGCUUGUGGGAUCCGGUGGCGGUUCUA